UACAGAGGAGCCAAGCGUUGUCCGGAUUGACUGGGCGUAAAGCGCACGCAGGCGGACGCGCGCGUGGGGUGUGAAAUCUGGCCGCUUAACGGCCAGGCGCCAUCCCAUACGGCGCGUCUGGAGUGAUGCAGAGGUCGGUGGAAUUGCCGGUGUAGUGGUGAAAUGCGUAGAGAUCGGCAGGAACACCCAGGGGGAAACCAGCCGACUGGGCAUCUACUGACGCUGAGGAGCGAAAGCAUGGGGAGCGAACAGG
rnacentral:rRNA from 1 species